ACUAGGUUUGCGAAGAACCAUCUGCGUGGUCGGGAAUAAAUUGAAUGGAGACGCCUACCCACGAGUCGAACGGUUCAUUUCACGCUGGCGACUGCGUUCUCCCUGAACUAAAGUACAGACCAUCUUUGAGCGUGAAAAUGCGCGCCAUUGUGCCAGUACUUCUCCUCUGCAUGGCCAAACUGGCUCUAAGUGAAGAAGAACAAAAGCCUCAAUUGGUCCUUGUGACUGAACGAAAACACGAACAGUGCUUCCCGAUCGGAUUCCUGGGCUUUUUCAUCUGCGUGCAAUGGAGUAACAUUGAUAUGUUUGUACCGUCGGGCAAUCACACUGGGCCUGAUUCAAACAGCACAUCUGAUUUCUCGUCACCACCACUCGAUAUAACCUCAGAUGGCGACUCUGACGUUGCUGCUGAUGAAUCCACCCUAGUCGAGGACAGCGCUGCAGAAAGCACGGCGUCUGACACCCAAGACACCUCUGAUUCUGGUGAAUCCUCGCCUAGCGAAAUUGGUGCAGAGAGGAGCGAUCAGACAAGCAAGGAUGCAUAAUAAAGUGUUCACUUCGACAAGCAUAAACUACGAUGUGCGAUUUACAAAAGAAAGCAAAGCGUGCAAUAAGCCAGCAAAAUAAAUGUUAGCAAACGCUUUUUUCACAAUGUUGCAGUG